UGACACCAAGAGUCCUUCAGAACAUGUGACCUUCCUGCUCACAACAUAAAACUCAGCUUUCUGUGGCCUCUAUAGUUCGUCCCAUCCAAGACAAAGGCAACACUUCAACAACAGAUGUGAACUGGAACAUGAAGAAUGAAAAUGAAACAGACCCAUAUCCAGCUUAAGGACGGACUCAUCCAUCAAUCCUGGAAAACAGUAUUUAUAAUAAUCUUUUAAGUGCACAUCUUCCAGCAUGUUCUUGCUGCCCAGUGGAGGCUCCUGAUCUGGACUUCUGCAGUGUCACGCUCCGUGUAUUUGACAAGCUGAGUUGGACACUCUGUGUGGUAGAGUGUCAGUUUGUCAAAUACCCCAAGUGUGGCUCAUGCCUAUCAGCUCCGGGUCCAGGACAGAGCAAAUAACCUGCUGGCUAUAUAUGAAUGUUUAUGAAACAUGAAGCACUCUGGAGUUAUUGCAUGGCUUUGAGGGAACUAUAGCAUUUAUUCAGAGGACAUUAGAGUAGAAACGAUGCAGCUCUGGGGCCUACAAGUCUGGUAUGCUUCUGUAUACAUUCUGAAAAUGCCAUGGACUGCACAGUGGUCUUGAAAAUGCAUAAGGGAUACUGAGAAUGAGAGUAUUAUUUGAUUUAUUAUUAAUGUCUUGUUUCCCAUUCCUCUUCUUGCAGCCAGGACAUACAAGCAUCACAAAUUCUUUGAGAAAGUAGGAAAUAAAUACCCACUGUCUGCCCUUCGGAGGACAUAUUAUUAGCCUUACCUACAUUUUCUCUUUUCCUCUUUGCUUUUAUCCUCUUUAAAACAGCCUUCUUAUUUCUCUUCACUGGACUUUCAGACCUUACCAAAUUCCAAUUUCUCUUGGCACUAUUGAAAAUUAACCUAUACUUUUCUUUACUCAUUGCCUAACCACAUACUAGUAUGUGCUCUUUUAUGUCCUACCACUAAAUAUAUCUUCUAAAGUUGUCAAUGAAUUUUUCCAGGGUUUGUUCUUGAAUUUCCUAUUUUAUUGUAAGAGUCUAGAGCUUAUUAUACUUGCUUGAAUGCUGUCUCUCCUACCAUUGUACAACAUUUUAAUUAUUUAAUAAAGGUUUACCAGUUAA